ACAAGGUUUCCGUAGGUGAACCUGCGGAAGGAUCAUUGCACACACGAGUUGCAGCCAACCCGCGGCGAACGAACACAUUGUCCCUCCCGGUGGGUCGCGGCGCCUCGCGGCGUCGCGGCCGGCCACCUCCCUUCGGCGCGAGCUUCGUCACGAACUCGCGGCGUCGGGUUUCCACGCGAUGCCUUCACCUUGACCGAAUGACUGAGUCCCUCUGGCUCCACGGGAGCGAGUUCCGUCCCCCUUGGCUUGACUUGACUUGGCUUGUCUUGCUUGCUUAGGGGGUCGGCGCUGGUUACCUUGCGAGCUGUGAAACCUGUAACCGAAAACAACUCUCAGCAACGGAUAUCUUGGCUCUUGCAACGAUGAAGAACGCAGCGAAAUGCGAUACGUAAUUGUGAAUUGCAGAAUUCCGUGAAUCAUCGAAUCUUUGAACGCAAGUUGCGCCCGAGGCUUGUCCAAGGGCAUUUCCGCUAGAGCGUCACCGCGCCCCCCACCGCUCCACUCCCGCUGGGAGUCGGGUCGAGUGAAAGUGGCCAUCCCGGUGGGCCUCUCCCGACUUGGAAGGAGGGAAGGCCUUAAGGGUUGGCUGAAAUGGAGGGAAUCGGGCCGCCGUGGCGACACAGUCCGCGAUCGGGUGAUUUUCGGGCUCUCCUCCGCGGGAGCCCGGAAUAUUUCUAAGUGCGUGGCUGCGUCGCCCAGUUGGUCUUGGUGUUACCUCACGUGGCAGGUCGAGCGCGCCCCCGCGGCGCGCGUCACGCAGCAGACCUCUAAUCGGGAAAGACUACCCGCUGAGUUUAAGCAUAUCA
rnacentral:rRNA from 1 species